CCCACUUCAGUUGCACCAACAUUAGCAACCACUGAUGGAGCCCCACUGUGCACCAAGCCUCAACUUCCACAACUCGGAAUUCUGCCUCCACUGUCCCCAUGAGAAAAGCUUUUAGAGAGCCCACAAGGUGAUCCCAGAAGCAGCAAAGGACAGAAAGAUGUACUUUUGUCCCCACAUGGGGACAAUCGGCCACAGCUUGGAGAGAGCCACUCAAUUGGAUAGAGUGCACUGCUGGGCAGGGACCAACUCUCUCAGAAAAUUGCUCCCCGGAACAUGAGAUGAGAGAAGCAACCGAAACAGAACAGUCGAAACAGAAGGCUGCUGCUCGCCGCUUUCCUGUCUGCAGCUGGCUCACUUCGCCAGCCUGGCUUUGUCCCGAGGAAGACUCGUCUUUCAAUUAACUGUGCCAUGGCCUGGAGGUUCCAUAUUUCCAAAUUCUCUGUUUGGAAUUCUCUUUCCACAAUAUUUCAGAAGGAAGAGCCAACUUUGCAGUUUUCUCCGAAUCCGCUUACUGCUUGAGGAUCUGGGAAGGCCUGAGACGGGAUGAGAGGAUGGAAACCCGGCCGGACCCCAUACUUUCCAUGCUGGGCAGCUUCCCAACCACAGCAACAGGAGGAGGAUG